GAUAGGUGUUGAAAAGGCACGUAUAUAUGGCGGCGAAACAUUGAAAAGCAUGGAGAUACAUGGAUAUACCUCAUAAUGAACAUGACCACACACUCGAUGAAGGGAAGAAGGUCUCUAGUCUAUAGGAAACAUACAAUAUGGAAGCAUUGUACUCCUUAUCGAAAAAAUGGAAGCAUCGUAAUAUUGGCGACUUGAAGAAAAUAUGUUUUAUGGACGAGUGGAGCAAGGAAACAAAUUUAUGUUCGGUUAGGAGUAAAUUAGUUUUGUGAUGGAAGCACUUUUAUGAUGGAUGGUAGCAAAGUUUGUCUUGUGUUGGAAACAUAAUGAAAAUAUAUAUUUGACUCAA
rnacentral:lncRNA from 1 species